GCACACUGCUAAAGUGUAACAGCAGAGUGCUUACAGGAGUUUGCAGAAUUUUGAGAGGGUAUGGUACAGAGCCUACUUCCAAAAGGAAGAAGAGACUAUGAUGGACUAGUUGUCUAUCUUGGCUCCUAAUGUACACAGAUGGACUCUCAUCUAACUCUUCACAGUAAAAUAAUAUUUUCCUGGAAUUGGCAAGCUAAUAUAGAACCUAAUAAGAAAGUGUACCAGAUGCUUGAUGACUUUUCCAAUGUAUCAGAGAUACACAAAGCAUAUUUUAAGCACAAUCUCAGCCUCGUGCCCAACAGAAAUUUGCAAUCAGAUUUCAUGACACCAGAAUUCAACACCAAAAGAAAAAAAAACUAUGAGUUUGUGAAAUUCUGAAGCUACAGGACGUGUGAAGGAACAUCUAACUGGAUCCUGGGCAGAAAUGCAGUAUUUUAAAAGAAAAUGCAAAGGCUGUUGCUGUAAUAAAUGCACUACUCGCCCAGCCA
rnacentral:lncRNA from 1 species